AUGCACAAGAAGCUCCCAGAGGAACCAAUAUCUGGGAAUAAACGAAGCAUCAAGCAACGACAAGCAUGGGUGCUGGGAGGACGAUGGGUCAGGCGAGCGCCGUGGGAGCUCCGAAUCCCCCCCUGGCAGGUUGGCUGGGGCGCUGGGGCUGCCAUCGGAGCGGCUGCGGGAAGGAGGCAGGAAGCGAGCGGCAGGCAAGGAUCUCGCCUCUCGUUCCUCUGCCUUCCCUCCGUGACAGGCCAUAAAAAGUCACGAGGCAAGGAGGAAAACAAGGAGGUGUCCAGAGUUCAAGCACGGCACCUCCGCCACUCCCGGGCCGCAGCUCCCGGCGGGAGCCGAAAACCCGGCGAACACCGUGGGAUCUCGCUCCUGCGUGGGAGGCACCAUUUCUGCGGGAAGAGACUCCUGCUGCCGCUUGGCAGCCGAGCCUGGGAGCGGGCCUGCGCUCCGGGCCCUCCCUGCCGCCGGCACGGGCGGGGGAGCGGGGGGCGGCGGGCGGGACGGGCGCUGCCGUCGGGGCGCGGAGCCCCCGCCGAGAUACGGCCCCCACCAGCCAAGAGCGCGGCCCCCGGGGCUGCCCCGGGCCGGGCCGAGCGGAGCCCCCUUCGCCGCCCCUCCGGAGGCACCGGAGCUCUCGCUGCGCCCCCGACCCCGCGGGGCUCCGCGCUCCGGAUGGCGCCCGCACCGCGCACCCGCACCGCGCCCGCCGCGGGAGGAGCGACGUUCGCCUUCCCCGGAGAUCCCUCCUCCCGUCCCCCUCGGGUCCUAAAAUGUAAAGCAUCUUGUGGUUCCUGUUUCAUCCUAUGUUCACAUAAAGACACUGACAGAAGGGAUGGACACAGAGAAAUCUCCUCUGUGGUUCUGUGCUUGAAGAUGGGAAAGCACAAACAUCUCAGCCACAGGCAGGCAGAGUCCAGCAGCAUUGUGGGGAAGGUCAGCUGGAGGGAGAGACAGAGCAGAAAAUAGCCCAAGGCAACGCAAGAGCUUCAGGGCAAUGCAGCAGAGUGGAAAACUGGAUCCCAUAUAACCCAAGAGGCACUGAGAAAACAACCUCCUCAGAACCAAGUUCUUCUACCUGCAGGAUGGUGUGUCACUGCAGAGAAAAAAAGAGAAACCACUUUCCCUUAUAAAGGAACGGUGGUCCAGUCGUGUUACACCGAGACCCCCUCUGCAACCGGCCUGCAGACCCGCUCCUUCGACCUCGUGGGAAUUCAGGAAGUGGCACACGGCUCUGCGAGGAAGCCUGGAUCUUUGUCCUUUGAAGAUGCCACCCAGGAAACCUUCAGGAGCGGCCGGGGAGUUGCUGUAAGUCGGGGAACCACUAGUGAGGGGGAGCCAGGGUCCACUCGAGUUUUGGGAACGCCACCUCACCUCGUCUCCUCUUCAGCCAGGCAGAACCUGCCUGGAGGGUGUGGGCAAAGCGUGCGGCCCGAGGAGCGCGUCAUUCUUAGGAGAAUGCUGGGCAAGGGACCACAGCCCGGUGACCAUAGCACAUUCCCAGCAGACGAGGCAGCCUCCAUUCACAAGUGACAUGGAUUCUCAUCCCCAGAUGUCUGAGAGAUAAAUGCAGACAGUUCAAAUCAGUGGCAGAGAGCCCCAGUGCUGGGUGAGGGUGUUGCCAUGAGCAGGUCAGUCAUUGUUUGCAUUUGCAGGGGAAGCCUAAAUGGUGACUUUGUUACAGCAGUCUUUAUUCUUAGGAGGUCCAGGCAGAUAGCAGCAGUCAAGGCCCAGUGUGCCGGGGGAGCAGUGGACAGAAGCAGUUGUUUUUACUCAGCUUUCAGUUUCUGGUGCAAUUCUAAGCAUCCAUUCUUGUUUUUGUGCUUUAGGGAAUCGACUCGGAGUACUCAUACCUCCAUCACCAACUGGCAAAUGGAUCGGUGCCGGGAGCGUGGCUUCUCGUUUUCCAGCCUUCCUUGCUGUGAUGCCUUUAUUUUCAUGGGUUGGUAAAACUGUGGGUCCUCAAGUCGUUGACCUCUGUGUGGACAUUCUGAGCAUCUUGCUGUGCCAAGGGAGUCAGAUAAAGCUGGAUCAUCAACAGAAGCGGGAAGAGCAUCAGGCUGAGUCGGAUCUCUUUAUGGAUGAGGAGUCUGAUGACAGAAGUGUCUUCAAAUGACAAGCUCCUUCCUGUCCUGUCCCUGCUCCGUUCCAUUCCCCCUCUCGGUGGUGUGAGAUGAGAUUUGAGCCCUUUCUGACAUCCACACGUGCUCUUCGUGUUGUCAGAUCCUGUGUGGAAGCCAGCACCUCUCCCUGCCUAUUUUGCAGACUGUACCUGCUGAAAGGCUGAGGUGGGACCAGGAUCUGUAAAAUCCCUGACUCUCCAUGUCUUCCUGAGGCUGAAGCUGUGUUUGCUGUCAGUGGUGACAUGGUGGAAGAUGCUAAAGACUGAAAAUUUUGGGUUUUUUCCCCGGAACCCCAAGACUCUGUAGCUGUGCCCUGUCUGUCUCUUAAAAGAGUUUAUUGGUUUACAAAGGUUUUUACAUUCUGCAAUUAUUUACCUAUAACUCUAUUAAAAAGAAUCAUACUGUA